AUUCAGCCACAUACUCCGAACCGGUCAUAUUUCACUAUCCACCCAGUCAGAUCGUCCCAUCUCAUCUCCCAGUCAUACCCACUCAACCUGUCACAUUCACACACUUGGUCACAUAACAUGUUACCUACCAGUGCCCACCUUGCACUUAUUGCCAUCCAGCCUUCAAAGUAGUCAUAAUUCCCAAUCAGUCAUGUGGAUUCAUCCAUCCAGUCACAUACCCCAAACUAGUCACAUUCAUC